rnacentral:rRNA from 1 species
AACGAACGCUGGCGGCAGGCUUAACACGUGCAAGUCGAACGAGAUCUUCGGAUCUAGUGGCAGACGGGUGAGGAACACGUGGGAACAUCCCUUUCAGUUCGGAAUAACGUCGGGAAACUAACGCUAAUACCGGAUACGUCCUUCGGGAGAAAGAUUUAUCGCUGAAAGAUUGGCCCGCGUCUGAUUAGCUAGUUGGUGAGGUAACGGCUCACCAAGGCUACGAUCAGUAGCUGAUCUGAGAGGAUGAUCAGCCACAUUGGGACUGAGACACGGCCCAAACUCCUACGGGAGGCAGCAGUGGGGAAUAUUGGACAAUGGGCGCAAGCCUGAUCCAGCCAUGCCGCGUGAGUGAUGACGGCCUUCGGGUUGUAAAGCUCUUUUGUCCGGGAAGAUAAUGACUGUACCGGAAGAAUAAGCCCCGGCAAACUUCGUGCCAGCCGCCGCCGUAA